rnacentral:lncRNA from 1 species
GUGCCUUUCUAAGAGAGCCCCUUGCCCCUUCUGUCAUGUGAGAUUACAGAGAAAAGGUGGCUGUCUGGGGAGCAGGCCCUCAGCAGAUGCAGAAAUGUGCCAGCACCGUGAUCUUGGACUUCCCAGCCUCCAGAACUAGGUGGCCUUUCUCAUGAUUUCUACAGCUUUCGAGUGUGGCAAGCAAUGUCCUGGUUUGCUUAUGUUUGUUCAAUGUUUAAAACCCAUCCCUCAGCCCUAAGAAAAGUGUAAAAGAAGGAUUCGUCCUCCCUUCCUUUGGAUGGCAACACUGCUUUCCUGAGCCUGAGCCCUGAAGGGGUCUUCGAAAAUGUGAUCCGUUGAGUGAGGAGUUCCAGCGGAACGUAGAUUCGCUUCGCAAGGAAGAAAGUUCCACUCGGCUCCCGAUGAAUUUAAUCUCUCAAUUUUCCUCCGUUGCUUGGACGUGCUAGAAUGAAACUCAGAUGAGAUGCUGUGAUAAAGAUCCUUCUUCGUUAGUCUCUCUCACAGCUGGGCUUCAUUUAUGUGCCCAUAAACCAGCUCAUCUUUGCAACACAGGAGCGACUCUGAGCUGGGAAACUGAGCUAAACCAAAAAACAGCAAGCUCUUCAUUCAUGAUCUGCAAAGAUGGGAAGCUGCCAAAUGACACUUCCAGGAAGCUUAUCCAUUUACAAAAUGAUCUUCAUGUUGCAGUCAUUUCAACUGAACCAAGGUGGUGUUUUAUUCCAGAAGAAAGUUGUUUCUUUUUAAGUCGAGGCCAGCAAGCAUUGAUAACAAUUCCUGUGGAAGGUUUCAUCUCCCUCCUGAGGCAUUGCGAAGGAUUCUGACCUCCCAGCAUCUUCGUCUGCUGUUGGUGGAACACCAUCUGCCGCGAAUGUAGCUGUCUCUCCACUAGAUAGUCUUUCACCUUUUGAAGCCUAGACAGGUUUCCAUCCAGCUCAACUCAAAUCAAGCUCUCCAAGUAGUCCCUUUGAAGCCACUGCCACUGGAUGGAGCAGGAGAAAGGACUUGCUGUCCUCUGUCCUCCAGCUGCCCAGGACUUCUGCUGAAGACAGGGCAGAGCUACAACAGCCGGAGUGACUCUGGGAAACCCUCUCUGUACUCCAAGCAAGGAUGGUCCAGACUCCAGUGAGGAUGCCUUGGACAUGUGGGUGGGGCCGUCCUCAUGGGUAUGUGACCUGUGUAGUUGUAUAGAGCCUGUGUUCAGAAGAGACCCAUGCUUGGUCUAAUUCUCUGCUGUUACUGUCUUUAAAUUUUUAAUAAUGUUAUCUUUGAAUCUGUUCUUUGUACAUGAAAUGUGAUGGGACAAUGGAGCAUGCACAUGAACAGAGGAGAUACACGCAAUAUUCCUGUCUCCCACUCUCUGAUGCCUCUUUGCAUAUAGAAUUUGUGAUGUCCCCUGAACACAGAAUUUUGGUGGACUCACGAUGUGUGGGAAUUCAGAGACACUCAAAGUGAGUACAAGGAAGCAUGUUAUGUCUACGAUUGAGUGGGUGGGGGCACUGAGUGCCCCGAGAGGUCAUACCUUCCAGUCAAACCAGAACUUGCUUUGAAUGUAGAAAGAAGGCAAUGACAUUCUAAGAAACGCUAAUGACCAAGGGACUCCAUCCUAUUGUGGUCGGCAGAAUAACAGCCCCCAAAGAUGUCCACACCCCAAUCCUUGGAUCCUGUGAAUACGUUGCCUGACACGGCAAAAGCGACUUUGCAGAUGUGAUUAAGGCUAAGGUCUUAAGAUAGGGAGGUUACCCUGGAUGAUCUGAGUGAGUCCUUAAUCACAUGAGCCCUUAAAAGCAGAGAACUUUCUCCAACUGGA